UCCGAGUUGUCCCCGGCAGUCCUUUUAGAGUCCCCGGCAUUACCCGCUGGCAACUAAAAGCAGGGGUUGCGCUCGUUGCGGCACUUAAGCCAACACCUCACGGCACGAGCUGACGACAGCCAUGCAGCACCUGUGCUAGCCCCUUACGGACACGGGCUUUCACCCGCUUUAACUAGCAUGUCAAACCCAGGUAAGGUUCUUCGCGUUGCAUCGAAUUAAUCCACAUAAUCCACCGCUUGUGCGGGUCCCCGUCAAUUCCUCUGAGUUUUAACCUUGCGGCCGUACUCCCCAGGCGGAGAACUUAUCGCGUUAGCUGAGCCACUCAGGGAUUUAACUCCCCCAACGGCCAGUUCUCAUCGUUUACGGCUAGGACUAC
rnacentral:misc_RNA from 1 species